AAUAGAUACCCAGGUAGUCCACGCCGUAAACGAUGAGUGCUAAGUGUUAGGGGGUUUCCGCCCCUUAGUGCUGCAGCUAACGCAUUAAGCACUCCGCCUGGGGAGUACGGUCGCAAGACUGAAACUCAAAGGAAUUGACGGGGGCCCGCACAAGCGGUGGAGCAUGUGGUUUAAUUCGAAGCAACGCGAAGAACCUUACCAGGUCUUGACAUCCCAUUGACCGCUAUGGAGACAUAGCUUUCCCUUCGGGGACAAUGGUGACAGGUGGUGCAUGGUUGUCGUCAGCUCGUGUCGUGAGAUGUUGGGUUAAGUCCCGCAACGAGCGCAACCCUUGUUCUUAGUUGCCAUCAUUUAGUUGGGCACUCUAAGGAGACUGCCGGUGACAAACCGGAGGAAGGUGGGGAUGACGUCAAAUCAUCAUGCCCCUUAUGACCUGGGCUACACACGUGCUACAAUGGACGGUACAAACGGUUGCCAACCCGCGAGGGGAGCUAAUCCGAUAAAACCGUUCUCAGUUCGGAUUGUAGGCUGCAACUCGCCUAC
rnacentral:rRNA from 1 species